UACGUAGGGUGCGAGCGUUAAUCGGAAUUACUGGGCGUAAAGCGUGCGCAGGCUGUUCUGUAAGUCAGAUGUGAAAUCCCCGAGCUCAACUUGGGAACUGCGUUUGAAACUACAGGACUAGAAUAUGUCAGAGGGGGGUAGAAUUCCACGUGUAGCAGUGAAAUGCGUAGAGAUGUGGAGGAAUACCAAUGGCGAAGGCAGCCCCCUGGGAUAAUAUUGACGCUCAUG
rnacentral:rRNA from 1 species